rnacentral:misc_RNA from 1 species
CUGUCACUCGUUUUUUGCAAUUAGACUCAUUCGGUUGUUGGUUUCGUUAAGCGCUUCGAGUACAGGUGAAAUUCGCAUUGUUGUUUUUUUGGAAACUGAUUGAGUUAAUUUUUGUUAUUUACCCAAAUAUAAUUAAAACAUCACAGGUAAAUAAUUAUUAAAAUAUAGAUCAGCGCUACUGAAUUACACCGAACGUGUGCAAAGCUACUGUAAAUCGCGAGUGAAGUGAAGUGCUGUGAUGUUGGCAUUGUGUCUAGCAAAGAAAGUUUAAAAUUCAAGUUGUUAAACCCAAUAAAUUCAGAAAAAGAUUUUGCAAAAUUUUUAAAAACGCAAAUAUACAAAAAAAAAAAAUAACAAAAUUUUCCAUUAGGUUUUAGUGUACAAAAUUAGUGCAUUCUCCGAUAAAAUUGUUCACAGCUAUUUUCGUUUUUGCCUUUACCAUUUGGAUUAAACGCAGUAACUAGAAGUCGAGCAAUGUGGAGUCCAACACACAUACAAGUUACGGUUCAACGCGCAAAAGGCCUCCUAACGAAGGGUAAAAAUGGCACCAACAACUGUUUUGUCACAAUUUCACUGGGCAAGGAGAAAUACCAAACAUCAGUCAAAGAUAAGGCGGAAACCAAUGUCAGUUGGAAUGAGGAAUGCGAACUCAAAAUUCCCGAUCAAGGCAAUCGCGCUGAAUUGGCUUUAACUUGCCUACAUCGCAAUAAUCUCGGUAUCGAUGAAUUCCUCGGACAGGCCACAUUGCCACUCAACGAAAUGGACGUUUACGAUCGUCCACGCUCCAAAUGGUUCAAACUGGAAAGUAAGCCCGGCAAGGAGAAGAAGAAUAAAGAGCGUGGUGAACUGGAAGUGCGUAUUUCCUUCAUUGUCAAAUCCGGUUCACUUACCGAUCUGAGCAAGAAGGAGAAGCACAAGUCUUCCAUUGGCCAGUUGGCCUCUUCCGUGGGUGGCAGUCUGCUCUCGAUAGGCACAAUAGAAAAGCGCAAAGGCAUUAAGAAAUUCGCCAAAUCGAUUGGUUCGAAAAUGCACUUGCACAGCAAGAAGAAGAACAAAGAUGGCGAUGACGUAUCGAAUUUCAGUGGCUCUUUUGCGAGCAUCGGCACACCGAACAGUUCGAACGGCGGCAGCCGUCGUUACGGACAACGUGCUGGUGAAGCUGAUCCCGGUGUGAUUAGUGAGGAUGAAGACGAAUUCGUUUUUGAUAAUUUGUCACACAAGAGUUCGGCUAGUUCGUUGAAUAUACGCUCGAAUCUCCAACCGCCAACACAAAAUCACGCGCCGCGAAAUCCUUCACCGCUGCUGAAUAAAAACGGAGGUAAGCCAUUGUCUAGACGAGAUUUGGUGGAGGAGGAUCUCGCAGUAGAUCCCGAAUUAGAGGAAUUAGAAAAUGACUUCAGCGUUCGUGCACGCACACUGCCGCCGCCCUCGAAACCACCACGCACACAACAACAACUCAACGAUAUGAUUGCUUCGUCACCGAAGCAGAAGGAGCCAGCACUCGACGAAUGGGAAUCGAAGUUGUACAAACAACAUUUGCAGAUCGGUAGUUCGGAUUCGUUGAAGCGACGUUCCUGGGAACAAUCGCGUGUGCCGCUACCAACACCCAAUGAAGAGGCGGAAACGGAACCGCAACGCCAUGACGAUGAGAAGAAUGUGGCGGAUAAGAAGGAAGAAAAAUCUUUCAUUGAGCCGAUAAAUAGAGAAUCUAAUAAUGGCGAUAGCGAUUCUUCAUUGUCUUCUACAGACUCAGACGAGGAGCAAGCUGUGCCCGAGCCAAUGAAAACCGAAAUCAAGGAGUUGCCCGCUAAAAGGCCCCAAGAACUUAUUAUUAAUCCCAAACCCGUCACGGCUACACAAAAGAUCAGUCUACUGUCGCCAGAUGAAGAGACAAAAGAUUUCAAUGAGCUCAAUGCGUCAUUUGCAAAAUUCGAACAACGCAAUAAGUCGCAUUUAUUCGAUUUGGAUACAGAUAAAAAGUGGCAUACACAAUCAUUCAUAGAUGUUGAGUCCAAGGUGCCUGUCAUGCCUAAGGCCAUGCCACGUAAUCGCGAAAGGGAAGCGGAACUAAAACGCGCCGAAGAACAAGAACAAGAGUUCGAACGCCAACGUCAAGCAGAGACGGACGCUAAGGCUAAAGCUGAUACGGAAGCAGCAGCUAAAGCUACAGCUGUAGCUAAAUCUCUAGCAGCCGCAGAGGCCGAACGUAAGCGCCAAGUUGAACUCGAAGCUGCCGCUAUUGCCGCUGAGCUACUAGAACGUAAGCGGCGUGUAGCGGCUGAAGAGGAAGAGAAAAAACGUGCCGCGGAAGAUGCACGUCUCGAGGAAGAGCUGCGCAGAAAUGAACAGAAAUUACGCGAAGAAGAAGCGGCUUUGCAGGAGGAAAUGCGUCAGCGGGAGGAAGAGAAACGACGCGAGGCAAAGCGACGUGAGGAAGAUCAACGCAUAUUGAACUUUGCCAAACGUUCCACAUCACUAGAAGAAGAAGGAGAGCAAAGCAAUUACAGUACGCCAGAGCAAUCACCAAGUGAAACGAUGGCUGAGAAGCGUGAAAGACGUUUAGGCAAAUUCAAAUAUCUGAAUAAGCGAGAUAAAAAUGAAGAUAAUCGUUCAACGCCAAGUCCGAAAUCCAAUGAACGUAUUAUAAUCGGGCACGAGAAAUCCACAUCACACGCUGAAAGACGCUCGGAAAUAUCGGCGGCGUUGGCCAAAAAAUACGAAGGAAAAUCACGAGAGGAGCUUAUGCUGAUAGCGAACGGCAUGGAAAAUGAAGCGUUAUUGCAACGUCAACGUGUUAAAGAACUGGAAGAUUAUCUGGACAAUUUGUUGUUGCGCGUAAUGGAAACACAUCCAAAACUCUUACAGAAUCCAUACUCACGAACUACAUCGGCUAAGAGUUUUAAAAAUUACAUCAAUAUGAAUGACUUUUUGUAAAGAAAAUGAGUUAACGAAGCGCGAUGAGUUUUACCAACCGUUUGGCAGUUCGCAUGUCAUUGCCAGGACAACGGCUGAACAUAAAGAAAAAUGGUAUAUUUUUUUUAGAAACUAAUAAAUCUAAGCGCGCGCUGAAUAAAAGCAGAAAAAGUGAUUGAAAAUCAUACUGAGCGCCUUCCAAGCAGCAAAAAAAAAAUUGAAAACUAAACAGAAGCAUACACAAAAUUCAAUAUUAAGCAGCGAAGCUUUUAAGCCUGACAAAUCACCAAGUUGCCUUUAAGUGAAAAUUGAAAGUGCUUUUUUUAGAUAAGAUAAUAUGCAUAUAUUUAUUAAUAAUUAAACAGGCAAAUAUGUAAAGAAAAUAUAUGAGUAUAUCAUAU